rnacentral:rRNA from 1 species
CACCGCGGUUAUACGAGAGGCCUAAGUUAAUGGACACCGGCGUAAAGAGUGGUUAAGGAGAAAUCAAAACUAAAGCCGAAUAACCUCAAGACUGUUAUACGUUACCGAGGACAAGAAGCCCAACUACGAAAGUGGCUUUAAUUUUCCCGACUCCACGAAAGCUGUGAAA